rnacentral:tRNA from 5 species
GCAUCCGUAGCUCAGCAGGAUAGAGUACUCGGCUACGAACCGAGCGGUCGGAGGUUCGAAUCCUCCCGGAUGCACCA